rnacentral:rRNA from 1 species
UACAGAGGGGGCAAGCGUUGUUCGGAAUUACUGGGCGUAAAGGGCGCGUAGGCGGCCUUCUAAGUCGAACGUGAAAUCCCUGGGCUCAACCCAGGAACUGCGUCCGAUACUGGGAGGCUUGAAUCCGGGAGAGGGAUGUGGAAUUCCAGGUGUAGCGGUGAAAUGCGUAGAUAUCUGGAGGAACACCGGUGGCGAAGGCGGCAUCCUGGACCGGUAUUGACGCUGAGGUGCGAAAGCGUGGGGAGCAAACAGA